rnacentral:rRNA from 1 species
GCAUGCCUAACACAUGCAAGUCGAACGAGGUUGACUUCGGUCAACCUAGUGGCGGACGGGUGAGUAAUACGUGGGAAUCUGCCUCGUAGUGGGGGAUAACGUAGGGAAACUUACGCUAGUACCGCAUACGCUCUACGGAGGAAAGGGGGGGGUCUUCGGACCUCUCGCUAUGAGAUGAGCCCACGUCUGAUUAGCUAAUUGGUAGGGUAAUGGCCUACCAAGGCGACGAUGGGUAGCUGGUCUGAGAGGAUGGCCAGCCACACUGGAACUGGAACACGGUCCAGACUCCUACGGGAGGCAGCAGUGAGGAAUAUUGGACAAUGGGGGCAACCCUGAUCCAGCAACGCCGCGUGAGUGAUGAAGGCCUUCGGGGUUGUAAAGCUCUGUUGAUGGGGAAAGAAGUAAGUGACGGUACCCAUCGAGGAAGCACCGGCUAACUCCGUGCCAGCAGCCGC